CCACGAUCAUACCUAUAGAGUGACCGCUGCAGCAGGGAGGAGGGAGGAUUGUGUGAAGGGAUAAUGGACCACUACAAGAACUACUGUUACAAGAACAUUGUGCAGAUGGUUUCCUGGCCACUGUGAUGACGUUUAGGACCUCUGGGUUUUGGAUUACCGGGUGCUGAUCCUCCAGGCCAUGAGGUGGAGACUUCCCAUGUCUGAAUGUAGCACUGUCCCCUGUUCUCUGCCAACACAAAGAUGAACCCAAGCCAGGCUGUGCCAGACUCCUAGUGCUUAUGCCAAGCAUGUGCAGACUGCCCAGGAGACCUGGAGCACAAGUGAUCCUGGAAAGAAAGGAAAAAACCACCAGCCACCACGUGUAGUAACAUGA